rnacentral:rRNA from 1 species
GAUGAACGCUGGCGGCGUGCCUAAUACAUGCAAGUCGAGCGAACGGACGAGAAGCUUGCUUCUCUGAUGUUAGCGGCGGACGGGUGAGUAACACGUGGAUAACCUACCUAUAAGACUGGGAUAACUUCGGGAAACCGGAGCUAAUACCGGAUAAUAUUUUGAACCGCAUGGUUCAAAAGUGAAAGACGGUCUUGCUGUCACUUAUAGAUGGAUCCGCGCUGCAUUAGCUAGUUGGUAAGGUAACGGCUUACCAAGGCAACGAUGCAUAGCCGACCUGAGAGGGUGAUCGGCCACACGGGAACUGAGACACGGUCCAGACUCCUACGGGAGGCAGCAGUAGGGAAUCUUCCGCAAGGGGCGAAAGCCUGACGGAGCAACGCCGCGUGAGUGAUGAAGGGCUUCGGAUCGUAAAACUCUGUUAUUAGGGAAGAACAUAUGUGUAAGUAACUGUGCACAUCUGGACGGUACCUAAUCAGAAAGCCACGGCUAACUACGU